rnacentral:miRNA from 1 species
CGUGGCUCGUCUUCUGCCUCAGA